AAAACUUUCAACAACGGAUCUCUUGGCUCUGGCAUCGAUGAAGAACGCAGCGAAAUGCGAUAAGUAAUGUGAAUUGCAGAAUUCAGUGAAUCAUCGAAUCUUUGAACGCACAUUGCGCCCGCCAGCAUUCUGGCGGGCAUGCCUGUCCGAGCGUCAUUU
rnacentral:rRNA from 1 species